UACGUAGGUGGCGAGCGUUGUCCGGAAUUACUGGGCGUAAAGGGCGUGUAGGCGGCCUUUUAAGUCAGAUGUGAAAUCUCAGGGCUUAACCCUGAAACUGCAUUUGAAACUGGAGGGCUUGAGGAUCGGAGAGGGCAGUGGAAUUCCCAGUGUAGCGGUGAAAUGCGUAGAUAUUGGGAGGAACACCAGUGGCGAAGGCGACUGCCUGGACGACACCUGACGCUGAGGCGCGAAAGCUAGGGGAGCAAACGGG
rnacentral:rRNA from 1 species